rnacentral:lncRNA from 1 species
AGGGAGUACCAAAAUGUCUUAAAAGGAAGAGAAAAAGUUCAAUUAAAAGUACUGUAUUGGGGCCCCAGUCAAUGAAUAAAAUGGGUAGAAGGAAAAAUAUUUUUUCUUCCCUACACUGGCUUGGCAUACAUGAAGAUAGCAGAGCACUCAUAAUACUCCACUACAGUGAGGACACCAUUAACAGCAAAAUGGGAAUGAUGCUGUUGAUUCAAAGAAAACUGAAAGUCCCUUGAAAUCCUACAGCUUGUCUAGAAUAGAAACUAGAUAGAACAGGAACUAGAUGGAAUAUUUCCAAAUUUUACAAUAAUCUCUAAAAUUUAUAUAACAUAACUGACUUUAUUAAUAAUUUAGAAAAGUUUCUUUAUAUGUGAAAGUGAAAAACAUUUUUCUAACAUAAAAAAAUGCUGUAUUUUAGGCAGGUAAUUAAUUAUUUAUGUUAAUUUCAUAAGCUUAGUGGCAUUUGCCAGGCUUAAAAAUUUUAAUUUAUUUUGAUUUAUUUUUCUAAAUACAUAUUAACCUUCA